rnacentral:rRNA from 1 species
UACGGAGGGUGCGAGCGUUAAUCGGAAUUACUGGGCGUAAAGCGCGCGUAGGCGGCUUUGCAAGUCGGAUGUGAAAUCCCCAGGCUUAACCUGGGAACUGCAUUCGAGACUGCAUUGCUAGAGUAUGGGAGAGGGAAGUGGAAUUUCCGGUGUAGCGGUGAAAUGCGUAGAUAUCGGAAGGAACAUCAGUGGCGAAAGCGACUUCCUGGACCAAUACUGACGCUCAUGUGCGAAAGCGUGGGGAGCAAACAGG